GAUGAGAAGAUCUUAUGUAUGAGUAUCUUCUGAAAUGAGAUUGGAUUAAUGUCUUAUAAGAAGUUCUGAUCUU